rnacentral:rRNA from 1 species
CGAACGCUGGCGGCAGGCCUAACACAUGCAAGUCGAACGAGAAGCUGGAGCUUGCUCCAGUGGAAAGUGGCAGACGGGUGAGUAACGCGUGGGAAUUUACCCAUUGGUACGGAAUAACUCAGGGAAACUUGUGCUAAUACCGUAUAAGCCCUUCGGGGGAAAGAUUUAUCGCCAAUGGAUGAGCCCGCGUUAGAUUAGUUUGUUGGUGGGGUAAUGGCCUACCAAGACUACGAUCUAUAGCUGGUCUGAGAGGAUGAUCAGCCACACUGGGACUGAGACACGGCCCAGACUCCUACGGGAGGCAGCAGUGGGGAAUAUUGCACAAUGGGCGCAAGCCUGAUGCAGCCAUGCCGCGUGAGUGAAGAAGGCCUUAGGGUUGUAAAACUCUUUCACCGGUGAAGAUAAUGACGGUAGCCGGUAAAGAAGCCCCGGCUAACUCC